rnacentral:rRNA from 1 species
GCAGCAUUAAGUGGGAGGGUAACUCCUUCUAAAGCUAAAUACCGCCAUGAGACCGAUAGAAAACAAGUACCGUGAGGGAAAGUUGAAAAGCACUCUGAAUAGAGAGUCAAAUAGUACGUGAAACUGCCUAGGGGACGCAAACCUGUUGAGCUCAAUGAUCCGGGCGGCGAUAUUCAGCGGUGGUUGGCCCUCGCCGGGUCGGCUGCCGUGCACUUAUCGGUCCGCAGUAACGGACAUCGCGAUCCAUUACAAGUGUGAGUUUAUUGUUCCGGCAACGGCCCCUGGCUCGUGGUUGGCGGCUCUUUAGUACGGGUGGCUCGGCGGCCUCCCCGAGCGAGAGUCUCCGCGCCUUUCACACCGAGAGGCGCAGGGCCCGACCGAGCAUUUGGUGCGCCGCUGGAAGCGUGAUGGAUUGGUUAGAGCGGGGUCGAGAGGGCAGGUUCUCAAGCCGGAGACCUUCGAAGCACUCACCCCCGAUCUGUGAUGACGCAUUAUGCAUUGAGAUACCCUCG